UACGUAGGUGGCAAGCGUUGUCCGGAAUUAUUGGGCGUAAAGCGCGCGCAGGUGGUUUCUUAAGUCUGAUGUGAAAGCCCCGGGCUCAACCUGGGAAUUGCAUUCGAGACUGAAUAGCUAGGGUACGGUAGAGGGAAGCGGAAUUUCCGGUGUAGCGGUGAAAUGCGUAGAUAUCGGAAGGAACAUCAGUGGCGAAAGCGGCUUCCUGGACCAGUACCGACGUUCAGGCACGAAAGCGUGGGGAGCAAACAGG
rnacentral:rRNA from 1 species